rnacentral:misc_RNA from 1 species
UUGAAUAAACCUGAUGUGGCUGUUAGCUGGCUUUUUCGAAGCAUGUGCUCGUCCGUCAUCUUUAUAUCUCCACCUGUGCACAUUUUGUAGUCUUGGAUACCCUCUCGAGGCAACUCGGAUUUUAGGAUUGCAUCAGCUUUCCUUUCAUUUCCAAGACUAUGUUUUUAUAUACACCAAAGUAUGUUUAAAGAAUGUCAUCAAUGGGAACUUUGUUUCCUAUAAAAUUAUA